AUUGAACGCUGGCGGCAUGCUUUACACAUGCAAGUCGAACGGUAACAGGCCUUCGGGUGCUGACGAGUGGCGAACGGGUGAGUAAUGCAUCGGAACGUACCCAGAGGUGGGGGAUAACGCAGCGAAAGCUGUGCUAAUACCGCAUGUGAUCUGAGGAUGAAAGCGGGGGACCGAGCAGCAAUGUUUGGCCUCGCGCCUUUGGAGCGGCCGAUGUCGGAUUAGCUAGUUGGUGGGGUAAAGGCCUACCAAGGCGACGAUCCGUAGCUGGUCUGAGAGGAAGACCAGCCACACUGGGACUGAGACACGGCCCAGACUCCUACGGGAGGCAGCAGUGGGGAAUUUUGGACAAUGGGCGCAAGCCUGAUCCAGCAAUGCCGCGUGCGGGAAGAAGGCCUUCGGGUUGUAAACCGCUUUUGGCAGGAACGAAACGGUGUCCGCUAAUACCGGGCGCUAAUGACGGUACCUGCAGAAUAAGCACCGGCUAACUACGUG
rnacentral:rRNA from 1 species